rnacentral:rRNA from 1 species
GAGUUUGAUCCUGGCUCAGAUUGAACGCUGGCGGCAGGCUUAACAUAUGCAAGUCGAGCGGGGGAGAUUGCUUCGGUAAUUGACCUAGCGGCGAACGGGUGAGUAAUACUUAGGAAUCUGCCUAUUAAUGGGGGACAACAUCUCGAAAGGGAUGCUAAUACCGCAUACGCCCUACGGGGAAAGCAGGGGAUCACUUGUGACCUUGCGUUAAUAGAUGAGCCUAAGUCGGAUUAGCUAGUUGGUGGGGUAAAAGGCCUACCAAGGCGACGAUCUGUAGCGGGUCUGAGAGGAUGAUCCGCCACACUGGGACUGAGACACGGCCCAGACUCCUACGGGAGGCAGCAGUGGGGAAUAUUGGACAAUGGGGGGAACCCUGAUCCAGCCAUGCCGCAUGUGUGAAGAAGGCCUUAUGGUUGUAAAGCACUUUAAGCGAGGAGGAGGCUCCUGUAGUUAAUACCUUACAGAGAGUGGACGUUACUCGCAAGAAUAAGCACCGGCUAACUCUGUGCCAGCCGCCGA